rnacentral:tRNA from 1 species
UUAAGAGCAGUUUUGGAAACAUUAACUUUGGGAGUUAAUAAGUAGAUUUUUUUUCUACUCUUAAA